rnacentral:rRNA from 1 species
AUUGAACGCUGGCGGCAGGCCUAACACAUGCAAGUCGAGCGGAUGAAGGGAGCUUGCUCCUGGAUUCAGCGGCGGACGGGUGAGUAAUGCCUAGGAAUCUGCCUGGUAGUGGGGGAUAACGUCCGGAAACGGGCGCUAAUACCGCAUACGUCCUGAGGGAGAAAGAGGGGGAUCUUCGGACCUCACGCUAUCAGAUGAGCCUAGGUCGGAUUAGCUAGUUGGUGGGGUAAAGGCCUACCAAGGCGACGAUCCGUAACUGGUCUGAGAGGAUGAUCAGUCACACUAGAACUGAGACACGGUCCAGACUCCUACGGGAGGCAGCAGUGGGGAAUAUUGGACAACGGGCGAAAGCCUGAUCCAGCCAUGCCGCGUGUGUGAAGAAGGUCUUCGGAUUGUAAAGCACUUUAAGUUGGGAGGAAGGGCAGUAAGUUAAUACCUUGCUGUUUUGACGUUACCAACAGAAUAAGCACCGGCUAACUUCGUG